rnacentral:tRNA from 1 species
GCGGGUGUGGUGGAACUGGCAGACACACUUGGUUUAGGUCCAAGCGCCGAGAGGCUUGGGGGUUCAAAUCCCUCCACCCGCACCA